rnacentral:rRNA from 1 species
UGGGGAAUUUUGGACAAUGGGCGAAAGCCUGAUCCAGCAAUGCCGCGUGUGUGAAGAAGGCCUUCAGGGUUGUAAAGCACUUUUGUCCGGAAAGAAAUCCUUGGCUCUAAUACAGUCGGGGGAUGACGGUACCGGAAGAAUAAGCACCGGCUAACUACGUGCCAGCAGCCGCGGUAAUACGUAGGGUGCAAGCGUUAAUCGGAAUUACUGGGCGUAAAGCGUGCGCAGGCGGUUUGCUAAGACCGAUGUGAAAUCCCCGGGCUCAACCUGGGAACUGCAUUGGUGACUGGCAGGCUAGAGUACGGCAGAGGGGGGUAGAAUUCCACGUGUAGCAGUGAAAUGCGUAGAGAUGUGGAGGAAUACCGAUGGCGAAGGCAGCCCCCUGGGCCAAUACUGACGCUCAUGCACGAAAGCGUGGGGGAGCAAAACAGGAUUAGAUACCCUGGUAGUCCACGCCCUAAACGAUGUCAACUAGUUGUUGGGGAUUCAUUUCCUUAGUAACGUAGCUAACGCGUGAAGUUGACCGCCUGGGG